AGUGAACGCUGGCGGUAGGCCUAACACAUGCAAGUCGAACGGCAGCACAGUAAGAGCUUGCUCUUACGGGUGGCGAGUGGCGGACGGGUGAGGUAUACAUCGGAAUCUACUUUUUCGUGGGGGAUAACGUAGGGAAACUUACGCUAAUACCGCAUACGACCUACGGGUGAAAGCAGCGGAUCUUCGGACCUUGCGCGAUUGAAUGAGCCGAUGUCGGAUUAGCUAGUUGGCGGGGUAAAGGCCCACCAAGGCGACGAUCCGUAGCUGGUCUGAGAGGAUGAUCAGCCACACUGGAACUGAGACACGGUCCAGACUCCUACGGGAGGCAGCAGUGGGGAAUAUUGGACAAUGGGCGCAAGCCUGAUCCAGCCAUACCGCGUGGGUGAAGAAGGCCUUCGGGUUGUAAAGCCCUUUUGUUGGGAAAGAAAAGCAGCAGGUUAAUACCCCGCUGUUCUGACGGUACCCAAAGAAUAAGCACCGGCUAACUUCGUG
rnacentral:rRNA from 1 species